rnacentral:rRNA from 1 species
CCUACGGGAGGCAGCAGUGGGGAAUCUUGCGCAAUGGGCGAAAGCCUGACGCAGCAACGCCGCGUGCGGGAAGAAGGCCUUAGGGUUGUAAACCGCUUUCAGUAGGAACGAAAAUGACGGUACCUGCAGAAGAAGGUGCGGCCAACUACGUGCCAGCAGCCGCGGUGACACGUAGGCACCAAGCGUUGUCCGGAUUUAUUGGGCGUAAAGAGCUCGUAGGCGGUUCAGUAAGUCGGGUGUGAAAACUCUGGGCUUAACCCAGAGCCGCCACUCGAUACUGCUGUGACUUGAGUUCGGUAGGGGAGCAGGGAAUUCCUAGUGUAGCGGUGAAAUGCGCAGAUAUUAGGAGGAACACCGGUGGCGAAGGCGCUGCUCUGGGCCGAUACUGACGCUGAGGAGCGAAAGCGUGGGUAGCAAACAGGAUUAGAUACCCUGGUAGUCCACGCCGUAAACGUUGGGCACUAGGUGUGGGUUCCAACCAACGGAAUCCGCGCCGUCGCUAACGCAUUAAGUGCCCCGCCUGGGGAGUACGGCGGCAACGCUAAGACUCAAAUGAAUUGACGG